rnacentral:rRNA from 1 species
UGAGGAAUAUUGGUCAAUGGACGAGAGUCUGAACCAGCCAAGUAGCGUGAAGGAUGACUGCCCUAUGGGUUGUAAACUUCUUUUAUACGGGAAUAAAGUUAGCCACGUGUGGCUUUUUGUAUGUACCGUAUGAAUAAGGAUCGGCUAACUCCGUGCCAGCAGCCGCGGUAAGACAGAGGCCACAAGCGUUAGGCGGAAUCACUGGGCUUAAAGCGUGUGUAGGCGGACCGUUAAGUGCUUUGUGAAAUCCCCCGGCUCAACCGGGGAAUGGCUGGGCAUACUGGCGGUCUUGAGCUGCCUAGGGGUCACUGGAACAAACGGUGGAGCGGUGAAAUGCGUAGAUAUCGUUUGGAACGCCCAAGGUGAAAACAGGUGACUGGGGGCAAGCUGACGCUGAGACACGAAAGCCAGGGGAGCAAACG